UACGGGGGGAGCAAGCGUUGUUCGGAUUUACUGGGCGUAAAGGGCGCGUAGGCGGUAGCACGAGUCAGUUGUGAAAUCUCCGGGCUUAACUCGGAAAGGUCAACUGAUACUGUGCGACUAGAGUGCAGAAGGGGCAACUGGAAUUCUCGGUGUAGCGGUGAAAUGCGUAGAUAUCUGGAGGAACACCGGUGGCGAAGGCGGCAUCCUGGACCGGUAUUGACGCUGAGGCGCGAAAGCCAGGGGAGCAAACGGG
rnacentral:rRNA from 1 species